UUUAACUGAAGAGUUUGAUCAUGGCUCAGAUUGAACGCUGGCGGCAGGCUUAACACAUGCAAGUCGAGCGGGGGAAGGUAGCUUGCUACCGGACCUAGCGGCGGACGGG
rnacentral:rRNA from 2 species